rnacentral:rRNA from 1 species
AACGAACGCUGGCGGCAUGCCUAACACAUGCAAGUCGAACGAGACCUUCGGGUCUAGUGGCGCACGGGUGCGUAACGCGUGGGAAUCUGCCCUUGGGUUCGGAAUAACAGCUAGAAAUGACUGCUAAUACCGGAUAAUGACGUAAGUCCAAAGAUUUAUCGCCCAAGGAUGAGCCCGCGUAGGAUUAGCUUGUUGGUGAGGUAAAGGCUCACCAAGGCGACGAUCCUUAGCUGGUCUGAGAGGAUGAUCAGCCACACUGGGACUGAGACACGGCCCAGACUCCUACGGGAGGCAGCAGUGGGGAAUAUUGGAAAAUGGGCGAAAGCCUGAUCCAGCAAUGCCGCGUGAGUGAUGAAGGCCUUAGGGUUGUAAAGCUCUUUUACCCGGGAUGAUAAUGACAGUACCGGGAGAAUAAGCCCCGGCUAACUCCGUGCCAGCAGCCGCCGUAAAAC